rnacentral:tRNA from 2 species
UCCUUGUUAGCUCAGUUGGUAGAGCGUUCGGCUUUUACAGCAUUCAAGGCAACCGAAAUGUCAGGGGUUCGAGCCCCCUAUGAGGAG